UAACAGAAGAAAAAUAUCGAUUAGCGAUGUCGGCUCAACUUAACCUGGAGGUGGAGAAGCUUCCAAGGGUUUGGCUGUUCGCCAAUUAAAAAGUUACGUGAGCUGGGUUCAGACCGUCGUGAGACAGGUCGGUCCCUAUCUGCCGUGGGCGUAGGAAAUUUGAGGGGAGCUGUCCUUAGUACGAGAGGACCGGGAUGGACGCACCUCUGGUGUACCAGUUAUCGUGCCAACGGUAAGCGCUGGGUAGCCAUGUGCGGUAAUGAUAACCGCUGAAAGCAUCUAAGCGGGAAGCAUGCCCCAAGAUAAGAUUUCCCAACUCCACAAGGGGUAAGAAGACCACUCGAAGAUGACGAGUUUGAUAGGCGGGAGGUAGAAGUCCUGCAAGGGAUGGAGCUGACCCGUACUAAUCGGUCGUUUGGCUUGACCUU
rnacentral:rRNA from 1 species